CUCUCCCACAACCACACCCCCACGCCUUAAUUUGAAGAAGAUACAGCUGGAUCCUCCAGCCUGGGAAGGAAGGGUUUCUUAACACCAUGGAUAAUGGCCGGAAGCAGGAGGUGGAGGUUAGGAGGGACUGCUGCCCGCCAAGCUCUGCUGUCCAUGGGAUUUUCCAGUGCAGGAGACACGGGUUCCAUUCCUAGUUGGGGAAAUCUCACAUGCCGUGGGACGACUAAGCCUGAGCAACUAACCCCAGCUCUAGAGCCUGCGCUCAGCAACAAGCGAAGUCACUGCAACGAGAAGCCUGCACACCGCAACUAGAGAGUAGCCCCCGCUCACCACAACUGGAAAAGACCUGUGUGCAGCAGAGAUGACCCAGAGCAGCCAUAAAUAAAUAAAUCUUUUU